AGCAGCCGCGGUAAUUCCAGCUCCAAUAGCGUAUAUUAAAGUUGUUGCAGUUAAAAAGCUCGUAGUUGAAUUUCGGGAUCAGAUUGUCGGUCGUGCCUCGGUACGCACUGGCAUUAUUGGUUCCUACCUUCUGAAGAACCGCGAUGUCAUUAAUUUGGUGUCGUGGGGAAUCAGGACUGUUACUUUGAAAAAAUUAGAGUGUUUAAAGCAAGCGCACGCUUGAAUACAUUAGCAUGGAAUAAUGAAAUAGGACGUUUGAUUCUAUUUUGUUGGUUUCUAGGAUCGACGUAAUGAUUAAUAGGGAUAGUUGGGGGCAUUAGUAUUCAAUUGUCAGAGGUGAAAUUCUUGGAUUUAUUGAAGACUAACUACUGCGAAAGCAUUUGCCAAGGAUGUUUUCAUUAAUCAAGAACGAAAGUUAGGGGAUCGAAGACGAUCAGAUACCGUCGUAGUCUUAACCAUAAACUAUGCCGACUAGGGAUCGGAUGAUGUUAAUUUUUUAAUGACUCAUUCGGCGCCUUACG
rnacentral:rRNA from 1 species